rnacentral:rRNA from 1 species
AUUGAACGCUGGCGGCAUGCUUUACACAUGCAAGUCGAACGGCAGCGCGGGGCAACCUGGCGGCGAGUGGCGAACGGGUGAGUAAUAUAUCGGAACGUACCCAAGAGUGGGGGAUAACGUAGCGAAAGUUACGCUAAUACCGCAUACGAUCUUAGGAUGAAAGCAGGGGACCGCAAGGACUUGUGCUCCUGGAGCGGCCGAUAUCUGAUUAGCUAGUUGGUGAGGUAAAGGCUCACCAAGGCGACGAUCAGUAGCUGGUCUGAGAGGACGACCAGCCACACUGGGACUGAGACACGGCCCAGACUCCUACGGGAGGCAGCAGUGGGGAAUUUUGGACAAUGGGCGCAAGCCUGAUCCAGCAAUGCCGCGUGAGUGAAGAAGGCCUUCGGGUUGUAAAGCUCUUUUGUCAGGGAAGAAACGGCUGAGGAUAAUACCUUCGGCUAAUGACGGUACCUGAAGAAUAAGCACCGGCUAACUACGUGCCAGCAGCCGCCGCCG